rnacentral:ncRNA from 1 species
UUUUUUAAGUCUCCUCUAUAUAUUGUGUCCCUCUCUACUAUCUAGCGAAACCACAGCCAAGAGAACGGGCUUGUAAAAAUCAGCGGGGAAAGAAGACCUUGUUGAGCUUGACUCAAGUCUGACUCUGUGAAGAGUCAUGAGAGGUGUAGCAUAAAUGGGCGGCGUGGACUCUCGUGGUUGUGUCGUGCUGACAGUGAAAUACCACUACUUUCAUCGUUUCUUUACUUACUCUGUGAAGCAGAAAGCGCACCAUAACUGUCGACGCUUCUAGAACUAAGUGCAAGGCACUUCGUUGGCCCGCACGAUCUGUUACGAGUACAGUCUCAGGCGGGGAGUUUGACGGGGGCGGUACAUCUGUCAAAUAGAAACGCAGAUGUCCUAAGGCGAACUCAGCAAGGACAAAAACCUCGCGUUGAGCAAAAGGGCAAAUGCAUGCUCGAUCUUGAUUUUCAGCACGACUAGUGACCGCGAAAGCAGGGCCCUUCGAUCCUUUUGACUUUAAGAGUUUUAAAGGGGCACUCAAGUGGUUUUUGGGGAAGCUACUUGUUGGUUGGAUGGCGUUAAGGAAGUGUCAGUAAAUGAGUAUAUUUAGUUUUAGAAAGCAGAACCGCCUAUUAAUCACGCAUGAAUAGAAUACGUGUGGACUCUUUUCUGUUCCAGCGCCGACAAAUGAAGUUUUCGUAUGUUUGAAAAUUUUGGCGCCCUUUGCAAAGUUUCGCUAAAGAAACAAUUUUCAGUUAGUUUAGAUAUAUUGUGCACGAUAAUUGCACAAGACGUAAAAUAGUUCUAGUUUAGAAUACGCGAUACUGAAAUUAUUGUUUCACAAACAAGGGAUUACGUUUUCUUCUUGCCUUCCCCCGCGGGGUGAAUUUCCCGUUCCCUCGGGAUGCGCGGAAGCAGACCUUUCAUGAACAGCAAACAUGGCGUCGGUGGAGAUUGUCCACUUGGACGGCGUAAUGAAAGCUAAUCGUUCCGCGUAAAAGCGCUAUCCUUGACUGAAUUUUCGUCGUGUUUCGCUAUGAUACCCAGCACGUACUAGAAGGGAAGAUCCA